CGCUUGAGGGAUGACGGCCUUCGGGUUGUAACCUCUUUCAGUAGGGAAGAAGCGAAAGUGACGGUACCUGCAGAAGAAGCGCCGGCUAACUACGUGCCAGCAGCCGCGGUAAUACGUAGGGCGCGAGCGUUAUCCGGAAUUAUUGGGCGUAAAGAGCUCGUAGGCGGUUUGUCGCGUCUGCCGUGAAAGUCCGCGGCUUAACCCCGGAUUUGCGGUGGGUACGGGCAGACUAGAGUGCAGUAGGGGAGACCGGAAUUCCUGGUGUAGCGGUGAAAUGCGCAGAUAUCAGGAGGAACACCGAUGGCGAAGGCAGGUCUCUGGGCUGUUACUGACGCUGAGGAGCGAAAGCAUGGGGAGCGAACAGGAUUAGAUACCCUGGUAGUCCAUGCCGUAAACGUUGGGCACUAGGUGUGGGGGACAUUCCACGUUUUCCGCGCCGCAGCUAACGCAUUAAGUGCCCCGCCUGGGGAGUACGGCCGCAAGGCUAAAACUCAAAGGAAUUGACGGGGGCCCGCACAAGCGGCGGAGCAUGCGGAUUAAUUCGAUGCAACGCGAAGAACCUUACCAAGGCUUGACAUGUUCUCGAUCGCCACAGAGAUGUGGUUUCCCCUUUGGGGCGGGUUCACAGGUGGUGCAUGGUUGUCGUCAGCUCGUGUCGUGAGAUGUUGGGUUAAGUCCCGCAACGAGCGCAACCCUCGUUCCAUGUUGCCAGCGGGUUAUGCCGGGGACUCAUGGGAGACUGCCGGGGUCAACUCGGAGGAAGGUGGGGACGACGUCAAAUCAUCAUGCCCCUUAUGUCUUGGGCUUCACGCAUGCUACAAUGGCCGGUACAAUGGGUUGCGAUACUGUGAGGUGGAGCUAAUCCCAAAAAGCCGGUCUCAGUUCGGAUUGGGGUCUGCAACUCGACCCCAUGAAGUCGGAGUCGCUAGUAAUCGCAGAUCAGCAACGCUGCGGUGAAUACGUUCCCGGGCCUUGUACACACCGCCCGUCAAGUCACGAAAGUCGGUAACACCCGAAGCCGGUGGCCCCAACCCCUUGUGG
rnacentral:rRNA from 1 species